CAAGUUUCUAGUGGGCAAAAUGGAUAGUAACAUACUAAAAAUAGGCAGUAUGUUUGGUUUAUAAAUCAAACAGGAAAAGGUUAGAAAACUUUAAAAGCAAAGGAUCUACAAAAAAAAUACAAUUUUAGAACCUUAUAUAAUCACCUGAGAAUAAAUUCUAGACUGGAUAUUUAUAUGUGUGUUCAACUAUUAUUUACUCAUUACUAGGUUUUUCUUUAAGAUCCUAACAUGCAAGAAAUAUGGGGGAGAAUGUUUGAAGCCAAAUAAGCAUAUUGUGAAGUUCUGUAAUUUGAGAUCUUAGUUU
rnacentral:lncRNA from 10 species